rnacentral:rRNA from 1 species
UACGGAGGGAGCUAGCGUUGUUCGGAAUUACUGGGCGUAAAGCGUACGUAGGCGGCUUUGUAAGUUAGAGGUGAAAGCCUGGAGCUCAACUCCAGAACUGCCUUUGAUACUGCAUGGCUUGAAUCCAGGAGAGGUGAGUGGAAUUCCGAGUGUAGAGGUGAAAUUCGUAGAUAUUCGGAAGAACACCAGUGGCGAAGGCGGCUCACUGGACUGGUAUUGACGCUGAGGUACGAAAGCGUGGGGAGCAAACAGG